CAAUGUUUAGCUUAGUGGGUAGAGCUUAGGGCUUGUGACCGGAAGGUCCGGGGUUCGAAUCCCGAGAGCGCCAA
rnacentral:tRNA from 1 species